UGAAGAAGGACAGAUGAUCGCUGCCUGCCGGUGUCUUGGACGCCUGCGGGGAGAGGAAAGUCCGGGCUCCACAGGACAGGAUGGUCCCUAACGGGGACCGGGGGUGACCCCAGGGAAAGUGCCACAGAGAGGAGACCGCCCGUCCCCGCUACGGCGGAGACGUGGUAAGGGUGAAAGGGUGAGGUAAGAGCUCACCAGUUCCGUCGGUGACGGCGGAAGCUCGGUAAACCCCAUCCGGAGCAAGGCCGAAUAGGGAAACGUUCGAGGGCGGUCCGUCCGAGGUUUCCGGGUUAGGCUGCUUGAGGCCGUCGGCAACGGCGGUCCUAGAUGAAUGAUCAUCACCCCGGCGGGGGUAACCGCGACGGGGAACAGGACCCGGCUUACGGACUUCUUCGACCA
rnacentral:RNase_P_RNA from 1 species